GACGAACGCUGGCGGCGUGCUUAACACAUGCAAGUCGAACGGAAAGGCCCUGCUUGCAGGGUACUCGAGUGGCGAACGGGUGAGUAACACGUGGGUGAUCUGCCCUGCACUUCGGGAUAAGCCUGGGAAACUGGGUCUAAUACCGGACAGGAGCCAUUUUUAGUGUGAUGGUUGGAAAGUUUUUUCGGUGUAGGAUGAGCUCGCGGCCUAUCAGCUUGUUGGUGGGGUAAUGGCCUACCAAGGCGGCGACGGGUAGCCGGCCUGAGAGGGUGGACGGCCACAUUGGGACUGAAGUACGGCCCAGACUCCUACGGGAGGCAGCAGUGGGGAAUAUUGCACAAUGGGCGCAAGCCUGAUGCAGCGACGCCGCGUGGGGGAUGACGGCCUUCGGGUUGUAAACUCCUUUCGCUAGGGACGAAGCUUUUUGUGACGGUACCUAGAUAAGAAGCACCGGCUAACUACGUG
rnacentral:rRNA from 1 species